rnacentral:lncRNA from 1 species
CAGAGCACCACGUGUUUUGAAAUAUACAAAUAGUGGGAAAUGAAAUCUUUGUUCUGGAUGCAGUUAUAAUUUGGAAAGUGAGGAAAUAAAUUAUAACAAGGGGAAAAAACAGAAUACUACUAAAGUCAUGCUGUGUGACUUCUGAAGCUAGCUCCUAAGAAGUCCUUGCAGCUUCUGCCUGCGACUCUUAGAACACUUGCUUUGAAGGACUCCAGAAGCUGUGUUGAAAGUCUGAGCACUCUGAAACCACCAUGCUGUGAGGAAGCCCAAGCUAACCACAUGGGCAAAAAAGAUGCCCUCUGACUGCCACCAUUUGAGACACUCUAAUUUAGAACUGCCUCAUUGAGCCCAUGAGGCCCUGUGAAUGAUAAUAAUAAAUUGUUUUUAACCACUAUGUUUUUGGAUUUGUAAUAAGUUUAUAGAUAACAAGAAAAAGUUAUAUUAGCAUGGUAAUAAAAUUAUGGAUAUGUGUAA